rnacentral:rRNA from 1 species
CCCAGUAGCGGCGAGUGAAGCGGCAAGAGCUCAGAUUUGAAAUCGUGUUUCGGCACGAGUUGUAGAGUGUAGGCGGGAGUCUCUGUGGAGCGCGGUGUCCAAGUCCCUUGGAACAGGGUGCCUGAGAGGGUGAGAGCCCCGUAGGGUGCUGCGCGAAGCUUUUGAGGCCCUGCUGACGAGUCGAGUUGUUUGGGAAUGCAGCUCCAAGCGGGUGGUAAAUUCCAUCUAAGGCUAAAUAUUGGCGAGAGACCGAUAGCGAACAAGUACUGUGAAGGAAAGAUGAAAAGCACUUUGAAAAGAGAGUGAAACAGCACGUGAAAUUGUUGAAAGGGAAGGGUAUUGGGCUCGACAUGGGGGGUGCGCACCGCUGUCUCUUGUAGGCGGCGCUCUGGGCGCCCUCUGGGCCAGCAUCGGUUCCUGCUGCGGGAGAAGGGGCUCCGGAAAGUGGCUCUUCGGAGUGUUAUAGCCGGGGCCAGAUGCCGCGUGUGGGGACCGAGGACUGCGGCUUCUGUCUCGGAUGCUGGCAUAACG